rnacentral:rRNA from 1 species
ACGCUCGACACCUACGGGAGGCAGCAGUGGGGAAUAUUGCACAAUGGGGGAAACCCUGAUGCAGCGACGCCGCGUGAGUGAAGAAGUAUUUCGGUAUGUAAAGCUCUAUCAGCAGGGAAGAAGAUGACGGUACCUGAGUAAGAAGCCCCGGCUAACUACGUCCCAGCAGCCGCGGUAAUCUGAGCGGGCUGGCAAGGC